AGAAGAAGAAGCUACUAGCAUUUGAUUGUUACUCAAAAAUAGCAUAACACAAUUUUAUGCCUUCUUUA
rnacentral:tRNA from 1 species